AUUGAACGCUGGCGGCAGGCCUAACACAUGCAAGUCGAGCGAGCGGCGGACGGGUGAGUAAUGUAUGGGGACUGCCCGAUAGAGGGGGAUAACAACUGGAAACGGUAGCUAAUACCGCAUACUAUCGGAUAACCCAUAUGGGAUUAGCUAGUAGGUGAGGUAAUGGCUCACCUAGGCGACGAUCCCUAGCUGGUCUGAGAGGAUGAUCAGCCACACUGGUACUCAGACCCGGCCCAGACUCCUACGGAGGCAGAAGUGGGGAAUAUUGAACAAUGGGUGCAAGCCUGAUGCCGCCAUGCCGCGUGUGUGAAGAAUGCCCUAGGGUUGUAAAGUACUUUCAGUCGGGAGGCGUUACCAACAGAAGAAGCACCGGCUAACUCCGUGCCAGCAGCCACGGUAAUUC
rnacentral:rRNA from 1 species